AUUGAACGCUGGCGGCAGGCUUAACACAUGCAAGUCGAGCGGGGUGAUGGUGCUUGCACUAUCACUUAGCGGCGGACGGGUGAGUAAUGCUUAGGAAUCUGCCUAUUAGUGGGGGACAACAUCUCGAAAGGGAUGCUAAUACCGCAUACGUCCUACGGGAGAAAGCAGGGGAUCACUUGUGACCUUGCGCUAAUAGAUGAGCCUAAGUCGGAUUAGCUAGUUGGUGGGGUAAAGGCCUACAAAGGCGACGAUCUGUAGCGGGUCUGAGAGGAUGUCCCGCCACACUGGGACUGGGACACGGCCCAGAAUCCUACGGGGGGCAGCAGGGGGGAAUAUUGGCCAAUGGGGGGAGCCCUGAUCCAGCCAUGCCGCGUGUGUGAAGAAGGCCUUAUGGUUGUAAAGCACUUUAAGCGAGGAGGAGGCUCUUUUGGUUAAUACCCAAGAUGAGUGGACGUUACUCGCAGAAUAAGCACCGGCUAACUCUGUGCCAGCCGCCGCCGUAA
rnacentral:rRNA from 1 species